rnacentral:snRNA from 1 species
GCAUUGAGCAUGACCUGGCUGCAACAUCUGUCACCGCACUGAUCAGCAGGGUGGAUUCGGUUGAUCUGGCUGGCUAGGCAUGAUUCCCUUCCUCCCUCACCGCUCCGUGUGCCUUCCUCCCAAAACUUGGUGGAAGGGGAUGACCACCCCUGAUAGAGGAGGACUGUUUCCUGGGUCAAGGGUGUACAAACAGCUGUGCUCCAAUUCGAGUAUCUCCAAAGAAGCUCUCAAAAUUCUCCUUUGCUACUGUACAUGUACUUUAUCUUUACAUUUUAAGUCUAAAACUUUU